CUGUUUGAUCCUGGCUCAGGACGAACGCUGGCGGCGUGCUUAACACAUGCAAGUCGAACGGAAAGGCCCUGCUUUUGUGGGGUGCUCGAGUGGCGAACGGGUGAGUAACACGUGAGUAACCUGCCCUUGACUUUGGGAUAACUUCAGGAAACUGGGGCUAAUACCGGAUAGGAGCUCCUGCUGCAUGGUGGGGGUUGGAAAGUUUCGGCGGUUGGGGAUGGACUCGCGGCUUAUCAGCUUGUUGGUGGGGUAGUGGCUUACCAAGGCUUUGACGGGUAGCCGGCCUGAGAGGGUGACCGGCCACAUUGGGACUGAGAUACGGCCCAGACUCCUACGGGAGGCAGCAGUGGGGAAUAUUGCACAAUGGGCGGAAGCCUGAUGCAGCAACGCCGCGUGCGGGAUGACGGCCUUCGGGUUGUAAACCGCUUUCGCCUGUGACGAAGCGUGAGUGACGGUAAUGGGUAAAGAAGCACCGGCUAACUACGUGCCAGCAGCCGCGGUGAUACGUAGGGUGCGAGCGUUGUCCGGAUUUAUUGGGCGUAAAGGGCUCGUAGGUGGUUGAUCGCGUCGGAAGUGUAAUCUUGGGGCUUAACCCUGAGCGUGCUUUCGAUACGGGUUGACUUGAGGAAGGUAGGGGAGAAUGGAAUUCCUGGUGGAGCGGUGGAAUGCGCAGAUAUCAGGAGGAACACCAGUGGCGAAGGCGGUUCUCUGGGCCUUUCCUGACGCUGAGGAGCGAAAGCGUGGGGAGCGAACAGGCUUAGAUACCCUGGUAGUCCACGCUGUAAACGGUGGGUACUAGGUGUGGGGUCCAUUCCACGGGUUCCGCGCCGUAGCUAACGCUUUAAGUACCCCGCCUGGGGAGUACGGCCGCAAGGCUAAAACUCAAAGGAAUUGACGGGGCCCCGCACAAGCGGCGGAGCAUGCGGAUUAAUUCGAUGCAACGCGUAGAACCUUACCUGGGUUUGACAUGGAUCGGGAGUGCUCAGAGAUGGGUGUGCCUCUUUUGGGGUCGGUUCACAGGUGGUGCAUGGCUGUCGUCAGCUCGUGUCGUGAGAUGUUGGGUUAAGUC
rnacentral:rRNA from 1 species